CCCAAAUCGAACCCUCCCACCCCUCCUCCUCGACCGACACCGCCGCCGCCGCAGCCCCCUUAGUCGACUUGCGCGCCCGCAACUGGAUCUAUGGCGCCGGGGCAUCGAGGUCAGGUCGCCUGCCUCCAGACACCUCUGAUGCGCGAGGUCGACAUCACCUCCCUCCAUUCGGCACAAACAUCGACGACGCCUGUGCGUCGAGGUCGAAGGCGCCGGUGUGUCGAGGUCGACGUCAUCUUCCUCCCCAGCAACAGAUCCAACGACGAACACCAAUCCUUGUCCAUUGUGAUGCGUGGCAACGGCAAGCGCAAGAGGAAGAGGUGCUGUCCAAGGGACCGCCAAAGCAUCGCGCUCCUCCUCUUCACGAUGCUUCACGCUGGCGGGCAUGGGAGGGCUCCUGACCACGGCUACCUCCCCGCUGACGGCGAGUGCGGUGCCUGCUCCCCACUAUGGUACAACGCGCUGCUUAGAUCCGCGUCGGUGGAAACCCGAUGCAGCUGAUUGAUGGAAUCAAGGAAGGAACAUACAGUGCAGUACGAAACGAGGGAUGAUCUGAUGAUGUUGAGAUGAGUAUGGUGCUCAUACUGGAUCAUUUUUUAUUCAGAAUCUCUGAAGUUAAAAUGGUGAGGUGUUAAAUGUAGCCCUUGACAAAAACUGGGAGAUUAUACUACCAUAGUUAGCUCCACUGUAGAAGUGACAUGACCAAACUUAAGUAGGUGUAUAUUUGUUACUCUUGAAUACUACAUAAGCUUUUGAACCUAGGAAGUCAUUGCCUCAGAGUUAUACAUACUUAGAUUAAUGGUUGCUAUGCUAACAAGAUACAGUGAGUAAUAACUUUGUUUCAAAUCUUAUAGCUUACUAAUAACAUACUGGUAAAUGCUUACUAGACAACUAGAUGUGCUUAAUUUGUGUGUGAAGGUCUGAAACUGCUGACAUUUUUUGGUUUCUUAUUAAACUGAAAAUUUUCUAUCUGAAGCUCCGAUACGUCAAGAACGACCGUGUCGCCAUUCCAAACGGCACUGAUACUCUGAUACGGCUCCAAUACGUGUAUCCCAGAAGUAUCUUUUUAUUUAAAAAAGAAAGGAAAAAAAUGCUGAUACAGCCCGGAACACGCUCGUGACACGACGGGACACAGUGAGCGAGAGAGACUAACCCUAACCUUCCUCUCUCAUAGUCUGUUUGACCACAGCAGGGAUGAGGGAUUGAGGGCGACUCGGGAGCACCGCCACCUAGAAUCGCCUCUCCGCCCUGUCUACUUGCCACGCCGCUGCCUUGACUGACCCGACUCAAGUCUUCUCUGCCACUGUCGUAAGUGCGAGGGAGGGAAUAGCUUCUAAAACGUUGGGAGAAGAGCAAUACCCCCCCCCCCCCCUUCAUUGUUUGGCUCACUCAUGCAAUCCAAGGUUGGAAAUGUUUGCGAAGACUGGCCAAAGAUAUCUUGCCAUAACCAUAUGCUCUGCGCUCACAUAGAAGACCUUACAAGCUUUGUAUUUUGUGGUUGUUACAUUCUGUACAACUUGGACGUAUUGAAAUUGUAGAUGCUAAGCUAUGAUGCAAGCCAUCAUGUGUAAUCAGUGAAUUGCAUACAUUGUAACCAUGUACUUUGAUCAUCAGAUUUUAUAAUAUAAAUGUGCACAUUCCUUUUGCUCUAUUUUAA